rnacentral:rRNA from 1 species
GCAGUCGAGCGAAUGGAUUGAGAGCUUGCUCUCAAGAAGUUAGCGGCGGACGGGUGAGUAACACGUGGGUAACCUGCCCAUAAGACUGGGAUAACUCCGGGAAACCGGGGCUAAUACCGGAUAACAUUUUGAACUGCAUGGUUCGAAAUUGAAAGGCGGCUUCGGCUGUCACUUAUGGAUGGACCCGCGUCGCAUUAGCUAGUUGGUGAGGUAACGGCUCACCAAGGCAACGAUGCGUAGCCGACCUGAGAGGGUGAUCGGCCACACUGGGACUGAGACACGGCCCAGACUCCUACGGGAGGCAGCAGUAGGGAAUCUUCCGCAAUGGACGAAAGUCUGACGGAGCAACGCCGCGUGAGUGAUGAAGGCUUUCGGGUCGUAAAACUCUGUUGUUAGGGAAGAACAAGUGCUAGUUGAAUAAGCUGGCACCUUGACGGUACCUAACCAGAAAGCCACGGCUAACUACGUGCCAGCAGCCGCGGUAAUACGUAGGUGGCAAGCGUUAUCCGGAAUUAUUGGGCGUAAAGCGCGCGCAGGUGGUUUCUUAAGUCUGAUGUGAAAGCCCACGGCUCAACCGUGGAGGGUCAUUGGAAACUGGGAGACUUGAGUGCAGAAGAGGAAAGUGGAAUUCCAUGUGUAGCGGUGAAAUGCGU